UGCAAAGGGGUUGUUCAGAAAAGGCUGCAAACCUGCUUGGAAUUGCAAGGAAGUCUGAGCCUUCGGCACUGGUAGGACAGGGCAUUUCUCUGCUGACUCAAAGAAAGGAAGGUUUGAGCCCUUCUCAGCCCCACAGUUUUACUUUCCUACUUCACUGUGCACUAUGCAAAUUCCUCUGGGGAAGCCUGCAAUGUUCCUCUGGAUGCUGGUCAUCACCUUUGCUGCAGUCCUUAAAGAGAGUCAAGAAGAAUCUGCCCCAGAAGUCAUUGUGCUUAAAUCAAAGAAACCCAAACAAUAUAACAACAAACAGAACAUGGCUUGUUUGGCAAAGGCUUUCUAUCCUAAGAACAUCAGCCUUGAUGUGCCCGAGAGUGACAUUGUAUAUGAUCUGAAGGCACCUCUUGUCACAUCUGAGGGGAUGUAUAGUACCAUGAAGGUAGUUGGAGUGGAACCAGAUGAAGAAGUGGCCUGCAAGGCUAUGCACAAGGGGAACAAGACUACAGCCAGCAUAAUUUUUCCAGAAGAGAAGACUGAAGAAUUUGAAACAGUUAGUGCUUGCAACAUUACAUAUGCCUCUACAAAAGCAGAUGUCAAAAUGGAGAAAGUGAAUACGCUGUUCAUGGCUGUUUUGGGUUUGCGAGUCCUGCUAGCAAAAAGCGUUGCCUUCAAUUCAAUCAUGAGUAUCAAGCUGUUUCUCCUCUGAGGUACCGGGUAAGUGAGCUAGCAAUAAGCCGAAGAAGAGCAGGAAAGAGCACACAGCAGGAUAAUUUAAAAACCAUGGAUCAGCUUUGCUACCAAUAAACAUCUAAAGAAUCAACAACCCCCCACCCCCAGUUCCUGUUGAUCUCUGAGUCCUUUUACUUCACCAAGGUGCUCUUCAGUUAACCAUCUGGAAGCCUUCUUAGGCAGCUAAUACUGCUGAAGUUGUGUAGCUUAGUUUCAUUAAUUGUUAGGACAAUUUUUGCUGUAAGAAAUUUCCCUCAUCCCUCUGCUAAGCAGGAAUAGUUAGUUCUCCUACUCCUAUAUCCAUUGCACUGAAGUAUCCAAAUUGCUUAGAUAGUUUGAAACUUAAAAUGGAGCUUUAUACUUACUAUGCUUUAAAAAUAUUAUGUCUGAUAAUACCAUGUUAUUGUCUAAAGAAGUAAUGCUUUUCUGCUUAGAGAUCCCAGACACAAAGGGAGCAUUGUAUAGUUUUAAUUUUUAGAAGAGAGAAUUGCACCUUUUAUUAGUGGCAAUCUUCUAGUGCAGGUAACUAGAUCUUCACUGGACCUGAAGAAAUUCACUUCAGAUAGGUAUACAGUAGUAUUUUGAUUUCCAUCUCUUCUUUAGAACAUUUUUGUCUUUUGUUAAGUAUAUGGUAUGUGCAUUUUAGGUUUCCUUAAUAUACACCAAAAUAAAGUUUUCUUAUGCUU